CGCCGCGUGCGGGAUGACGGCCUUCGGGUUGUAAACCGCUUUCGCCUGUGACGAAGCGUGAGUGACGGUAAUGGGUAAAGAAGCACCGGCUAACUACGUGCCAGCAGCCGCGGUGAUACGUAGGGUGCGAGCGUUGUCCGGAUUUAUUGGGCGUAAAGGGCUCGUAGGUGGUUGAUCGCGUCGGAAGUGUAAUCUUGGGGCUUAACCCUGAGCGUGCUUUCGAUACGGGUUGACUUGAGGAAGGUAGGGGAGAAUGGAAUUCCUGGUGGAGCGGUGGAAUGCGCAAAUAUCAGGAGGAACACCAGUGGCGAAGGCGGUUCUCUGGGCCUUUCCUGACGCUGAGGAGCGAAAGCGUGGGGAGCGAACAGGCUUAUAUACCCUGGUAGUCCACGCUGUAAACGGUGGGUACUAGGUGUGGGGUCCAUUCCACGGGUUCCGCGCCGUAGCUAACGCUUUAAGUACCCCGCCUGGGGAGUACGGCCGCAAGGCUAAAACUCAUAGAAAUUG
rnacentral:rRNA from 1 species